AACGCGAAGAACCUUACCUGGGUUUGACAUGCACAGGACGACGGCAGAGAUGUCGUUUCCCUUGUGGCCUGUGUGCAGGUGGUGCAUGGCUGUCGUCAGCUCGUGUCGUGAGAUGUUGGGUUAAGUCCCGCAACGAGCGCAACCCUUAUUUCAUGUUGCCAGCGCGUUAUGGCGGGGACUCGUGAGAGACUGCCGGGGUCAACUCGGAGGAAGGUGGGGAUGACGUCAAGUCAUCAUGCCCCUUAUGUCCAGGGCUUCACACAUGCUACAAUGGCCGGUACAAAGGGCUGCGAUGCCGUGAGGCUUAGCGAAUCCUUUAAAGCCGGUCUCAGUUCGGAUCGGGGUCUGCAACUCGACCCCGUGAAGUCGGAGUCGCUAGUAAUCGCAGAUCAGCAACGCUGCGGUGAAUACGUUCCCGGGCCUUGUA
rnacentral:rRNA from 1 species